UUUUUUAUUUUUUCCAGUAUUUUUUUGUUUUUUAAAUUAUUUAUUUUCUUUUGAUUUUUGCUUUAUUUUUUUAUUCUUUUUUCUUUUAGCUCAGAAUAAUUAUAAACUUUCUGUUAAUCCAUUAGUUUCCAAAUUUGAAUAGUUUAAAUUUCAUCCGGAAACUCGUGUGUUACAAAGGGAUUUCAUUUUUAAACCUAAUUUGAACUCAUGACUUUUUGUGUGUUCAAAAUGAACCAUUCAAAGCCACAUCAUCAUUUUUCAAUCCUUUCUGACUUCAUUUGUUAUUUUUCAUGCAUUUACUAAUUAUUUUGAACUAUAAGACCCUUAAAUUGAAAAGCAUUUCAAAUGAACUCUUAAAAGGUUGAAAGUUGGCAUGAUAUCAUCAUUUCAUCCACAUAGCAUGUGCAAGAAAGUUGAGAGGGUUACGGCAAAAACUGGAUGCACUUCGUGUACAAAAUGGACAAUCUCUUUCAAAGUAUCAGGAUUUCAUCCGGAAACUCGUCUGUUACAAAGGGAUUUCAUUUUUUAAACCUUAUUUGAACUCCUGACUUUUUGUGUGUUCAAAAUGCACCAUUCAAAGCCACAUCAUCAUUUUUCAAUCCUUUCUGACUUCAUUUGUUAUUUCUCAUGCAUUUACUAAUUAUUUUGAGCUAUAAGACCCUAAAAUUGAAAAGCAUUUCAAAUGAACUCUAAAAAGGUUGAAAGUUGGCAUGAUAUCAUCAUUUCAUCCACAUAGCAUGUGCAAGAAAGUUGAGAGGGUUACGGCAAAAACUGGAUGCACUUCGUGUACAAAACGGACAAUCUCUUUCAAAGUAUCAGGAUUUCAUCCGGAAACUCGUCUGUUACAAAGGGAUUUCAUUUUUUAAACCUUAUUUGAACUCCUGACUUUUUGUGUGUUCAAAAUGCACCAUUCAAAGCCACAUCAUCAUUUUCCAAUCCUUUCUGACUUCAUUUGUUAUUUUUCAUGCAUUUACUAAUUAUUUUGAGCUAUAAGACCCUAAAAUUGAAAAGCAUUUCAAAUGAACUCUGAAAAGGUUGAAAGUUGGCAUGAUAUCAUCAUUUCAUCCACAUAGCAUGUGCAAGAAAGUUGAGAGGGUUACGGCAAAAACUGGAUGCACUUCGUGUACAAAACGGACAAUCUCUUUCAAAGUAUCAGGAUUUCAUCCGGAAGCUCGUCUGUUACAAAGGGAUUUCAUUUUUUAAAACUUAUUUGAACUCCUGACUUUUUGUGUGUUCAAAAUGCACCAUUCAAAGCCACAUCAUCAUUUUUCAAUCCUUUCUGACUUCAUUUGUUAUUUUUCAUGCAUUUACUAAUUAUUUUGAGCUAUAAGACCCUAAAAUUGAAAAGCAUUUCAAAUGAACUCUGAAAAGGUUGAAAGUUGGCAUGAUAUCAUCAUUUCAUCCACAUAGCAUGUGCAAGAAAGUUGAGAGGGUUACGGCAAAAACUGGAUGCACUUCGUGUACAAAACGGACAAUCUCUUUCAAAGUAUCAGGAUUUCAUCCGGAAACUCGUCUGUUACAAAGGGAUUUCAUUUUUUAAACCUUAUUUGAACUCCUGACUUUUUGUGUGUUCAAAAUGCAAUAUUCAAAGCCACAUCAUCAUUUUUCAAUCCUUUCUGACUUCAUUUGUUAUUUUUCAUGCAUUUACUAAUUAUUUUGAGCUAUAAGACCCUAAAAUUGAAAAGCAUUUCAAAUGAACUCUGAAAAGGUUGAAAGUUGGCAUGAUAUCAUCAUUUCAUCCACAUAGCAUGUGCAAGAAAGUUGAGAGGGUUACGGCAAAAACUGGAUGCACUUCGUGUACAAAACGGACAAUCUCUUUCAAAGUAUCAGGAUUUCAUCCGGAAACUCGUCUGUUACAAAGGGAUUUCGUUUUUUAAACCUUAUUUGAACUCCUGACUUUUUGUGUGUUCAAAAUGCACCAUUCAAAGCCACAUCAUCAUUUUUCAAUCCUUUCUGACUUCAUUUGUUAUUUUUCAUGCAUUUACUAAUUAUUUUGAGCUAUAAGACCCUAAAAUUGAAAAGCAUUUCAAACGAACUCUGAAAAGGUUGAAAGUUGGCAUGAUAUCAUCAUUUCAUCCACAUAGCAUGUGCAAGAAAGUUGAGAGGGUUACGGCAAAAACUGGAUGCACUUCGUGUACAAAACGGACAAUCUCUUUCAAAGUAUCAGGAUUUCAUCCGGAAACUCGUCUGUUACAAAGGGAUUUCGUUUUUUAAACCUUAUUUGAACUCCUGACUUUUUGUGUGUUCAAAAUGCACCAUUCAAAGCCACAUCAUCAUUUUUCAAUCCUUUCUGACUUCAUUUGUUAUUUUUCGUGCAUUUACUAAUUAUUUUGAGCUAUAAGACCCUAAAAUUGAAAAGCAUUUCAAAUGAACUCUGAAAAGGUUGAAAGUUGGCAUGAUAUCAUCAUUUCAUCCACAUAGCAUGUGCAAGAAAGUUGAGAGGGUUACGGCAAAAACUGGAUGCACUUCGUGUACAAAACGGACAAUCUCUUUCAAAGUAUCAGGAUUUCAUCCGGAAACUCGUCUGUUACAAAGGGAUUUCAUUUUUUAACCUUAUUUGAACUCCGGACUUUUUGUGUGUUCAAAAUGCACCAUUCAAAGCCACAUCAUCAUUUUUUCAUCCUUUCUGACUUCAUUUGUUAUUUUUCAUGCAUUUACUAAUUAUUUUGAGCUAUAAGACCCUAAAAUUGAAAAGCAUUUCAAGUGAACUCUGAAAAGGUUGAAAGUUGGCAUGAUAUCAUCAUUUCAUCCACAUAUCAUGUGGAAGAAAGUUGAGAGGGUUACGGCAAAAACUGGAUGCACUUCGUGUACAAAACGGACAAUCUCUUUCAAAGUAUCAGGAUUUCAUACGAAAACUCGUCUGUUACAAAGGGAUUUCAUUUUUUAAACCUAAUUUGAACUCCUGACUUUUUGUGUGUUCAAAAUGCACCAUUCAAAGCCACAUCAUCAUUUUUCAAUCCUUUCUGACUUCAUUUGUUAUUUCUCAUGCAUUUACUAAUUAUUUUGAGCUAUAAGACCCUAAAAUUGAAAAGCAUUUCAAAUGAACUCUGAAAAGGUUGAAAGUUGGCAUGAUAUCAUCAUUUCGUCCUCAUAGCAUGUGCAAGAAAGUUGAGAGGGUUACGGCAAAAACUGGAUGCACUUCGUGUACAAAAUGGACAAUCUCUUUCAAAGUAUCAGGAUUUCAUACGGAAACUCGUCUGUUACAAAGGGAUUUCAUUUUUAAAACUUAUUUGAACUCCUGACUUUUUGUGUGUUCAAAAUGCACCAUUCAAAGCCACAUCAUCAUUUUUCAAUCCUUUCUGACUUCAUUUGUUAUUUCUCAUGCAUUUACUAAUUAUUUUGAGCUAUAAGACCCUAAAAUUGAAAAGCAUUUGAAAUGAACUCUGAAAAGGUUGAAAGUUGGCAUGAUAUCAUCAUUUCAUCCACAUAGCAUGUGCAAGAAAGUUGAGAGGGUUACGGCAAAAACUGGAUGCACUUCGUGUACAAAACGGACAAUCUCUUUCAAAGUAUCAGGAUUUCAUCCGGAAACUCGUCUGUUACAAAGGGAUUUCAUUUUUUAAAACUUAUUUGAACUCCUGACUUUUUGUGUGUUCAAAAGGCACCAUUCAAAGCCACAUCAUCAUUUUUCAAUCCUUUCUGACUUCAUUUGUUAUUUCUCAUGCAUUUACUAAUUAUUUUGAGCUAUAAGACCCUAAAAUUGAAAAGCAUUUCAAAUGAACUCUGAAAAGGUUGAAAGUUGGCAUGAUAUCAUCAUUUCAUCCACAUAGCAUGUGCAAGAAAGUUGAGAGGGUUACGGCAAAAACUGGAUGCACUUCGUGUACAAAACGGACAAUCUCUUUCAAAGUAUCAGGAUUUCAUCCGGAAACUCGUCUGUUACAAAGGGAUUUCAUUUUUUAACCUUAUUUGAACUCCGGACUUUUUGUGUGUUCAAAAUGCACCAUUCAAAGCCACAUCAUCAUUUUUUCAUCCUUUCUGACUUCAUUUGUUAUUUUUCAUGCAUUUACUAAUUAUUUUGAGCUAUAAGACCCUAAAAUUGAAAAGCAUUUCAAGUGAACUCUGAAAAGGUUGAAAGUUGGCAUGAUAUCAUCAUUUCAUCCACAUAUCAUGUGGAAGAAAGUUGAGAGGGUUACGGCAAAAACUGGAUGCACUUCGUGUACAAAACGGACAAUCUCUUUCAAAGUAUCAGGAUUUCAUACGAAAACUCGUCUGUUACAAAGGGAUUUCAUUUUUUAAACCUAAUUUGAACUCCUGACUUUUUGUGUGUUCAAAAUGCACCAUUCAAAGCCACAUCAUCAU
rnacentral:lncRNA from 1 species